rnacentral:rRNA from 1 species
GAUGAACGCUGGCGGCGUGCCUAACACAUGCAAGUCGAGCGAACGGACGAGAAGCUCGCUUCUCUGAUGUUAGCGGCGGACGGGUGAGUAACACGUGGAUAACCUACCUAUAAGACUGGGAUAACUUCGGGAAACCGGAGCUAAUACCGGCUAAUAUUUUGAACCGCAUGGUUCAAAAGUGAAAGACGGUCUUGCUGUCACUUAUAGAUGGAUCCGCGCUGCAUUAGCUAGUUGGUAAGGUAACGGCCUACCAAGGCAACGAUGCGUAGCCGACCUGAGAGGGUGAUCGGCCACACUGGAACUGAGACACGGUCCAGACUCCUACGGGAGGCAGCAGUAGGGAAUCUUGCGCAAUGGGCGAAAGCCUGACGGAGCAACGCCGCGUGAGUGAUGAAGGUCUUCGGAUCGUAAAGCUCUGUUAUUAGGGAAGAACAUAUGUGUAAGUAACUGUGCACAUCUUGACGGUACCUAAUCAGAAAGCCACGGCUAACUACGUG